UUUCCGUAGGUGAACCUGCGGAAGGAUCAUUAUUGAAUGAAACACGUCUUGCUUUAUGCUGUUGUGUUGGAUCUUUGGGCAAUGUGCACACGGCUCUUUUCACUUGUUUCUUCUGUUCCACCUGUGCACUGCCUGUCGACACCCUGUGUCUAUGAUAUUUGUUAACACACAACAAUGUUCGUUGGCAUGUUAUGUAUAAUAAUAAAAUAUACAACUUUCAACAACGGAUCUCUUGGCUCUC
rnacentral:misc_RNA from 1 species